rnacentral:misc_RNA from 1 species
GGUAGACGCUACGGACUUAAAUAAUUCGAGCUUUAGUAGAAAAACUUACUAAGUGUUAGCUUUCAAAUUCAGGGAAACUUAGGUUGAAAAAAGUAUAGGCAAUCCUGAGCCAAAUUUUUUUUUUGAAUGAAAUAGGUGCAGAGACUCAAUGGAAGCUAUCCUAACGUAAAAAUUUUUAAGAUUUAUUUAAUUGCAUUUUAUAAGUUAGUAUAAAUAAAAACGUUUAAUUAAAUCUUCAUUUUCUAUGACAGAAUAAGCGAGGAUAAAGAUAGAGUCCAAUUUUACAUGUUAAUUUUAACACAAUUUGAAUUGUAGUAGAAAGAAAAUCCGUUGGCUUUAUUGACCGUGAGGGUUCAAGUCCCUCUACCCCCAAAACUAUUCUUUUUUUUCUCAUCGACAGAAGCUUUUAAUUUAUGUUAGUAUAGCUCAAACAAAAGAAGAGCCGGAAUAGCUCAGUUGGUAGAGCAGAGGACUGAAAAUCCUCGUGUCAC